AACGAACGCUGGCGGCAUGCCUAACACAUGCAAGUCGAACGAGACCUUCGGGUCUAGUGGCGCACGGGUGCGUAACGCGUGGGAACCUGCCCUUAGGUUCGGAAUAACUCCCCGAAAGGGGUGCUAAUACCGGAUAAUGUCUUCGGACCAAAGAUUUAUCGCCUUUGGAUGGGCCCGCGUUGGAUUAGCUAGUUGGUAGGGUAAAAGCCUACCAAGGCGACGAUCCAUAGCUGGUCUGAGAGGAUGAUCAGCCACACCGGGACUGAGACACGGCCCAGACUCCUACGGGAGGCAGCAGUGGGGAAUAUUGGACAAUGGGCGAAAGCCUGAUCCGGCAAUGCCGCGUGAGUGAUGAAGGCCUUAGGGUUGUAAAGCUCUUUUACCCGGGAUGAUAAUGACAGUACCGGGAGAAUAAGCUCCGGCUAACUCCGUG
rnacentral:rRNA from 1 species